CCAUGAUUGUGCAGCACUAAUGGCACAAGAGACAGCAGGUUUUUUGCAUGUAAUUGAUUCUCCAUUAUCUAAUGCAGAUUUUGAGUUUUAUGUAGAUGUUUUCAGAUAUGCUGAUGAGAAGGGUAAUUUCCACACAGAUAUGCUGUAGUAUCUGCACACGAGGUAAUAAAAGCUGAACCUCUCGCUCCUCAUUGCUCUGCACAGGAGGCAGAGCUGAAGGCACUCGCUGAAAGUAAGACUGCUAAUAUUUAUAGACUCUCGCUAUGCUUUUGGUAUAGCCCAUGAUUUUGACCCUAUAUGGCGGGCUCGUGAUUUUCUCACCUCAGCAGGAACUCCAAUCAAGAACUCUGAAGCCGUGAGUGCACUUAUGAACGCUAUCCUGCUACCCACUGAAGUAGGCAUCAUCAAGGUGGCAGCUCACGUGAAGAUCACAGAUGAAAUCUCAAGAGGAAACCACAAAGCAGACAAAGCUGCCAAGCAAGCAGCAAUCCAAGUUCAUCCCUCUACAGGUAAUACCUUCCUACAAGUUGUUCUUACAGAUGACGCUGUUGACUACAAUAUACUGUUGAGCUUACAAAGACAGGCAAGCAAGGAAGAACAUGACCUCUGGAG